rnacentral:tRNA from 1 species
UCCCUGGUAGUUUAGUGGUUAGAAUUUGGUGCUUUCACCACUGCAGCCUAGGUUCAAUCCCUAGUCUCAGAA